CGAGCGCGCGGCCGGCCUUGGGUGGGCCGGGGCUUCCUGGAGCUCGCCGGUCGGCACGGUAGAAAAGUACCCAGGGACACAUAGGUAGCAUGAAUUUGUGCCUUCAAACUGUAGGAGGACCUGCUUGUAAGAAACUCAGGGAAAUUUCCUAUCCACCUGACUCCAGCCGGAGCUGAGGCCAAAAGAGCUCACGUUGCAUUGAAGGUUGACAGCGGUUUUGCUACACAGACUGUCAGAGACUCAAGGUGACACUGGCUCCACUCUUUUAUGACACUUCCAUCUCAGCACGUGGCUACACGGGUACCAUAGCAAAGGUACAGUGUGAGCUCAACUAAAUCCUGUUCACAACCCAGUGGCCAGAACCGGUCACAUGACCCCAACCGAGGAGCAAGGAAGUAGGAAGGAGAGCGGUGCCAGAUACGGUGAUUCUUAUUUGCGUUUUUCAUAUUUUGCAACCAUUCCAUUAAAGGAGAAAGAAGAGCUGGCGGAACCUGCUCUUCCCUCCAGCCCCAGCGGUAAGCACAGCGGACUCAACCAUAUUGUGGAUUUGGGCACAGCUGGUCUCCCUGAAACCCCACAAUUUUUCCCAUGGAACCCUGAAAACAUUUCCUCUCUCUUCUCGCAGGGGUGAACUCAGCAUUGGUGGCGUGAAGAUCGGGGCUGAUCCUGGUUUGUCCCCGAGGGGGUCUACUUCAGGCACACAGCAACUCCAGUGCCUGGUCAUAUUACGAUGUUAUACUUUACAGACCAGCAAUCCAAGCAAAAGAUGGUUUUCUGUGUCCUGCAAAUAAAUGCUCAAUUCACAACUGCA
rnacentral:lncRNA from 1 species